AAUACAAUUUCAAAAAAAAAAAAAAAACACAAAAUCCACCUCUGCUUUCUCUCUCCGUUCCUCUCCGUUCCUCACAAACCCUAAUUCUUCACUUCACUUAAUUGAUGACAAUGUUCUGAAUUAGUUUAGUUCGCGAUAUGAUUUGAAGUCUUCGAGCUUCGUUUUUGCGCAGGAAGAGUUAUCAAUUUUUUCUGGAUUUGAAUUGGAAAAAUUUCAUUUCCCGCGACACUGAUUUCAAUUCAUUUUCUGAAGCACCGCGCAGUUUCCUUUCCCUAAUCAUGGGUUUUGACAAUGACUGCAUCUUAAAUAUUCAAUCGCUUGCUGGAGAAUACUUCUGUCCUGUUUGUCAUCUUCUUGUCUAUCCAAAUGAGGCUUUGCAGGCACAAUGCACUCAUUUAUACUGUAAGCCAUGUCUGACUUAUGUUGUUAGCACAACACAUGCUUGUCCUUAUGAUGGGUACCGGGUGAUGGAAUCAGAUUGCAAGCCACUGUCGGAGUCCAAUAAAGCACUGGCAGAUACAAUAGGGAAAAUUCAAGUUCAUUGCCUGUAUUAUAGGACUGGAUGUACAUGGCAAGGUGCUUUAUGUGACUGCAUAUCUCAUUGUUCCUCGUGUUCAUUUGGAGAGUCUCCAGUUCUAUGCAACAGAUGCGGAAUUCAGAUUGUGCAUCGCCAGGUGCAGGAACAUGCGCAAAACUGUCCUGGUGCACAAUCUCAGGCGCAACAGUCAGGCACUGCACAGGAUAAUACAUCCACUGGAGUUGGAGCUGGAGCUUCAGCAAAUCAAAGCCAGACGACGACUCAGACAGGAACUCUGGUUUCUCAAGCUCAGACAACUCAAACUACUGCUCCUGCUGUAUCUGGUCAAGAUUCUAACCACGGAGGCAAUUCUACUGUGCAACCACAAGCAGCACAAGCUGCAAUGCCCACUGCAGAACAGUGGCAACAAUACCAGCAGCAAUACCAACAGUACUAUCAGCAGUAUCCUGGAUAUGAUCCUUACCAACAGCAAUAUCAAUAUUACUAUCAGUAUCAGCAAGGUGCUCAACAGUAUCCACAACAGGCUGUGCAAGGUUAUCCUCCUCAGGCUUAUGGGCAAGCCCAACCACAGGUUUAUGGUCAAACUCAGACUCAACCCCAACUCCAGACUCAACAGCAGGUCCAGCCUCAUGCUCAGCCCCAGCCUCUUACACAUCCCCAACCACAACCGCAACCUCAAGCUUCAGCCCAAACUGCACUAACAGCUGUCAAUGCACCACCACAAGUUCAGCCAUCGGUUCAUGUACAGCCUAAAAUGCAAACUCAAGUUCAAGCACCUCCAUCUCAAGCACUUUCAUAUAACCAGUCUCAGCCAUUAACCCAAUCUCAGCCCUAUUCUCAGUCGCAGCCUGUUUCUCAACAGCAGUUGCAGCCACCUCAGUAUCAGCAAACUCAUACUCAGAUGCAGCAUCUUAAUGCCCAACCUUAUCCACCUUCGCAAGCCCAAACGCAAACCCAGCAUUACCCCUAUCCACAUCCACAAUCUCAGGUACAAGCACAACCUCAUUUGCAACAGAAUUUACAGGCGUCUGCUCAUCCUCCGGCUCAACAAAAUCAGCCUAUGAAUCCUAGUGCCCAACUUCAGACGCAGAAUGCUGUAACUGGUUACCAAUCAUAUCCCCAGCCACAGCCUCAACCUCAAAUGCAGGUGGGAGCUGCACGUCCAACGCAAAUUCCUGGUGCCCAGCCUCAGUACCCAGUGCAAAUGCAGGGGAAUUUCCCUCAAGCUUCUCAGAUGUAUCCUGCUCAAGCCUAUCCUAACAUUACAAGUCAACAGCCAGCUCUGUCAUCUGCACAAGUUCAACCUCCAAGCAGGCCUCCAGCACAGCAGCUGCCUGUUCAGCCUCAUCCGCAGCAGCCUGGAUAUCCGGUUCAGCAGCGUCCUGGUGUGCAGGCUACACAACAGCAGUAUGGACAGCAGCAAGCUUUUCAUGGACAUGUUUUUGCACAGCCACAACCACAUCCACAGCCACAUCCACCUAUGACAGCUCAAGCACAUGCCCAAGGUCCUCCUCAACUGACGCAGCCACCUCAGCAGAAUUAUGGACUAGGGUAUGGUGUUCAACCUAAUGCUACUCAAAGUUAUGCCGCCCGACCAGCCACUCAAGGAACGGGUAACCAAACAUAUGCUCCUGCUGUUGGACUUACUGGUUUGGGUCAGGUUAGGCCCUCCCCUGUAAAUCAGGCUAAUUCAAUGAGAAUGAACAAUCAGCUUCUUUCUGAACAGCAGACUGGUCAAUCCCAACAACCUUUAAGAGCUACAGGUGGUGAAAAGACUCAUGAUCAGAUGUUGGAUAGUAGCAUUUAUGAUCAAAAUAAUCCGAACAAGGAGGCUAGAGAUUUAGCUGGGUUUAAAAAGGAUGAAACUAAAAUAAAAUCAGAAAGUGCUUUAGAUGGUGGUGCUGAUGGAAACAACAGGACAACACCAGUUACAGAGCCUAAGGUCUCGGAAAAUGAUAUUCAGGAUAGCAAAUCAAGGAUCAAGGCAGAUGGAUUUGAGGGUGUAUCAAAGCCGUCACCUGGUGCAAAUUCGACCAAAAAUGGUGCUCAGGAUCUUAAAGAUGUCGGGAAGAAGGCUGAGGUGCAGGACUUAAAGCAUAGAACUAACACUGGAGCUAGUGCAGCUGCACCAGCUUCUAAUUCUGGUACAAAUUCAUUUCCUUCUGCUGGUCAGGGAAGAAAUCAGCUUCAAGUAAUGCAGUAUGGGCCUUCAGCACACCUCGGACCUGGUGGUGCAUCUAUGCCACAAUCCACGCUUCAUCCUUAUAACACCCAGAAGCCAACAGCGGGACAUCAUCUUAAUCAAUUGAGACCACAAGGACCUGGACAAGCUCCUCCAAGACCACCUUUCAAUGCACCUGAGAACUCCCAGCCCCCUCUUCAUGAGCAACCCCUUGGUCCUUUGCCUCAGGAAAAUGCAUCUGGGGCUAUGUCAAUCCCUGGCUCAUCAGCAUCUUAUGCUAGAACUGGAAAUAUGGGCUAUCGUCAAGGUAAUAUGCCUCCUUAUCAAGGUGGCCAAUUGCAGAAUCCUCCUGGCGAACCUUUUGUUGGACCCUCAUUUGCUGCUCAAAGGCAUGGUGCACUUGACUUUCAUGUUGGUGCAAAGGGGAGAGAACAAGCUGAUGUCGAGCGCCGUCCUCCAUUUCCAAUGGAAAAUGAAACAUUUCCUCAGAGGCCUGGUUAUUUUGAUGCUAGAAAACCAGAGCCACUUCCUCAUGGAUCCACGGAGAGAGCUCCGUAUGGGUCACUUCAUCCUGGUUCUCAGCCUGGGGCUGUGAAGUUUGGUGAUGCUUCACCUCAUGAUUCUAUGUCUGCACCUGGGAUGAGAGAUGGAAGGGUGAAUCGAUUCCAUGAAGAGCAUUUGCAACACUUUCCUCAUAGGGACUUUGAACACGAUUCGAGGAAAUUUCCAAGACCAUCUCAUUUUGAAGCCGGACCAUCAUCAAAAUAUGGGACUCAAUUUCCAACAUCCGGGGCACUUGAUCAUGGUCCUCACGUAUUUGACAAAGGACCACAUGGAUUUGACCGUAAUUCUGGAUUGAAAAAAGAUUCUCUUGCUGGUUCUGGCCCUUCAAGAUUGUUUCCUCCAAAUCUUAAUCAUGCUAUUGAAAAGGGCCAAGCUACUAGUUUUCCUGAUGAUAGCAGGAGGAGAGGAGAUUUUGGACACCAUCCUGAAUUUCCUGGUUCAGCAACUGGUCCUGUUUUUGGUCGAUCCCGCAUGGAUAGUGUGCCACCUGGAAGUCCUGGUAGGGAAUUUCCUGGGUUUCCUUCUCGAUCAUUCGGAACCUAUGGGGAUGUAGGUGGAAAUAAUUUUCCUAACGAACCAUUUGGGAAAUCAUUACAUGAUAACAGGUUUCCAGUUCCUCCCAAUCACUUGCUUAGGGGUGAACGUGAUUUUGCUGGUAAUUUGCGUGCAGGUGAGCAUUUGGCCAGCGGUCCUCAUAAUCCAGAUAUGCUCCCUUUACAUUUACAAAGGGAUCAUAUGGGUCCUCGGAAUUUGCAUAUGGGGGAUGUAAAAACAUUUGGUUCAUCUGGUGGCCAUCCACGGAUGGGAGAAUCUCCCCUAGCAGAAAAGUUUCACCAACACCUGCCUUUUGGAGAAUCCUUUGGAGGUGAGAAACCCGGGCGCCCUCUGAUGGGUGAACUUGAAUUUAAGGGUGCCUCUGGUUUUCAGCGUUAUGCAUGUGAAGGUGGUUUUUACCCUGAGGAGAGGGAACCUUUUGAUAAUCCAAGAAAGUGGAUGGCUGGAAGCAUUAUGUGCCGCAUUUGUAAGGUUGAAUGUGGAACUGUGGAAGGUUUGGACCUGCAUUCGCAAUCAAGAGAACACCAGAGAAAGGCUAGGGAUAUAGUCUUAAACAUCAAACAGCAGAAUAAGAAACAGAAGAUGUUGAAAGACCCAGCUUCAAUUCAAGGAAGAGAUGGGGGGAGGCCCAAGAAGGCUGGCUUUCAGGGUCGUGGAAACAAGCGUUAAAUGGCGUGAUGGUUGUUUUGGCUGACAAACAAUCGAGUGAUUUUGUAGCUGACAGUCUGCAUUUUUUCCUUCAGUAUUUUGCAUUUAGUGAAUAGGUGAUGCAGCUUUCCGUGUCUCUUUCUUUUGCUGGUUGGUUUAUGCCAGUUUUGUUAUUUCAGGUUGCUGAUAUGUUAGUGGAGAUGGUAUUUUGGGAGUAUGUGGACUGAAGUUUCAGUGACAAUGUUUUCAAAGUGAACCUGUCUUUUUCGGCGAUGCUGACAAGGAAAAGGCUGAAAAGCAGAAAAGUUUUACCUUGCAGUCUUCUUAGAGUGUGGUGUUAAAAAACUGAAACCCAGCACUUCUUUUGGAGAGGAGCUUGGUUUCUUGAUCUCGAGUACCUUACGUUUUGCUUCUAUUGAGCCUUGGUCUUGCUUUGAAUUUGCUGGUAAUUUUUUUUUUCUCUACUUUGGUAGAUGUGUGCUUAUUGCUAAUUGUAUAUGACUUGGGCUGACCAAGUAAUUUAAGUUCUAUUCAAUCCCAAAAAAGUAAAUAAUAGAGAUAAAAAAAAAUCAAGUUUUAUAUUACUUGGUUGUUCCUAUUUAAUUAUUUACGUGGCAUUUCAAUCUCUGCUAGUAAUUGCAUCAUAUAUUAAUGAAUAGAGAAUACCAUAUUUUGGUUCCCCGUCAAGAAAUAUUUCCCAGACGUUUAAGCCCUAGGAUACAGCUUGCCAAAAAAGUAAAUAAUAGAGAUAAAAAAAAAGCAGAAUUAUUAUUUUUGAUUUCGGGUGAGGACAAUUCCCUACAUGUAAGAGGGAUAGGAUAUCAUACGGGUGGAAGUGAAAGGCUUCAAUCAUUAGACCAAACUAUGAUUUUCUGGUGAUUUAUUUUCCAAACAGACUUGAGCACAAUUUAGGCUGAAGAAAUACCUUUUGUUGCAAUGUAAUACGAUCGUAGUAAAACAUAUUUUAUCAUGAAGCUUUAAUUGCAAUAAGUUAAGUUUAAGUUAAGUUCUAGUGAGGUUUAGAGAGAUAAAGUGAAUUGAGUGAUUGUGAGAGUUUUUAUCUAGGGAGGGGCAAAGUUGGAUAAAAAACGAAGAUAGUGGUUACACAAUGAAAAGAAAGGGUGGUAACAAAUGUGCAACUGGAGCCAAAUUAGACAUAAUUGGCAGUUAGCAAGCUUGUUCUGUAAUUUGAUUGUGAUUUGUGAAUAACCUCUUAGGUGUACCUUGCCUUUGAUACUUUGUUAGUGAUGAGGCGACCUUCUAAGAUAGAUUUAUUCUUGGUUUGUUGCAUUAAUAUUUUGAGAGUAUAUAUGCUCUUUUGUAUUGAAUUAUUUGAAUGAGGAUUAUAUAUGUUUUUGAAAUGCACUUGUGUGAAAGAUUUUUUCCCCCUUUAGUUAUAUAUAAUAUAUUCUUGGAUUCUUGCGAUAUUGCUGUGACAUUUAAUGCUGAGUAUUUAUCUCAUUCUUCAUCCUCAAUGGGUCUAAAGGUAUACAAAUUUUUAAUUUCAGAUUAUACUGAAAUAUGUUAAAUUUGACCAACUAAAACACCUGUACCUAUAUUUGUAUGAAGUUGUGGAUGAUUUUUGGUACAAAGUGUUAAUUGGAAUCCGAAAGUAAUCAUUUUGUUAUCAAUUACAAAGGUAAUAUUGCAUAAUCGACCCUAAAAUCUAUCUAAAGGAAAGACUGGGCAAUGGGCAUUUUAUGAUAUUAGUAAUGAAAUUUUUAAGAGUUGACGAGUCUAGAAGUGUACCUACAAUUGGAAAUACAAGGUGUUCCGCGAUUUGAUAAGCUGGUAAGCCUCAGGUAUAUUGCACCUAAGUUUUUAGAAGACUUGUGAUGUAGAACCUAUUUUCUGUUUUCAAAAUGUUUUCCCAAUGUAUAUUGCACAAAGAUUAGAAAUAGUAGAACUAUUUGAAUUGUAUGGAUGAUAUUACAAGAUAGGUAUAAUAUAUGGAUGAAUGAAAUAUUUUCACAAAAAGAAAAUUUUAGUUAAGUGAAAGAUAGAAACUAAGUAUAACAAUUUGUUACAAACCAAAGGAGUAGAUUAAAUAUCCAUUAUGGUUAGUGAUUUGGCUGUAUAUUUUUAUUCUUUGUAAUUGAAACCAUAUAGGUGAUAAUGACGGACAAUUACCGAUAGCCAAGGUCACUUUCGGGUGUGAGAAUAUAUUGGUCAAUUACCGAUAGGAUGUGUAUGCCUUAUAGUUUUUGUUGGUGAUACUCCUCUGUUCUAAAAAAGUUUGCUUUUAAGCCGUCUUAAUUUUUCUGAUUUAUAUUUUUGGCUAUGAUCUAUCCUACUCCCUCCAAUUCUUUUCAAUUGUCUCAUUUUCUUAUUUGGGUAAUUCAUUUUAAUUAUCCUAUUUUUAUUUUAGAAUGUAAUUUUUGAACCAAAUUGUCCUUAUACCAUUCAUGUAAUUACUAAAACACCCUUAUUUUUUUUACUAAAAUACACUAUUUAGCCCCCCAAUAUCCACUAUAUCACAUGGGUAUACUAUUCAAAGAGGUCCCUCUACUUUCUUAAUUUUCGUGCCCAAUCCAAAUGGGACAAUCGAAAAGAAUUGGAGGGAGUAUUUCUUUAUUUGUCAUUCACAUAUGUGACAUAAUUUUUUAAUUUAUCUACAUAUUCACUUUACUUUUAUCUCGUUCAUAUAUUUUUCAUUCUUCGUAAAGUAAAUAAAACAAAUAUUGCUUAUUUGGCCGAUCUUAGGUUUUUAGGGGUUCAUAUAUUUUUCAUUUUUCGUAAAGUAAAUAAAACAAAUAUUGCUUAUUUGGCUGAUUCUAGGUUUUUAGGAGCUCGGGGCGAAAGAUUAGUUUUGGCCUCCUAAAUUAUUGUAUAUAUAGAAAAGUUCGAACCUUAACAUUAGUUGAAAACUAAAAUUUUUUGAGGGCUCUGAACGUAGGGACGAUUUGCACUUGCUAGGGUAGAUCUUGCUGUUUUAACACUUACAUAUUUUUUUUCUUAUUUCAUUUGUACUUGAAAUUAUUUUUUUGACAUUAGAGUAAUGCAAUAACAUAGUAACGACUAAGGUAACACAAAAAAGGUCAAGUUGUCAAAGAUUUGAUUAUUUUUAUAAAUAUGUAUGAGGGCAGUCGUUUUUACGUUAUUACUUUUGGAGCAUAAAAAUUAGAAAGAAAAAUUAUCAUGAAUAAUACAAUGUUUUGUUAGUUUUUUGUAAUAAUAUAACUUUUGAUUAACCAUGAAUAACACUAAUUUAGGGGAUUUUUUCCUAAAAUAAUGCCAAUUUUAUUUUAUUAG